rnacentral:rRNA from 1 species
AUGACUUGUCAGCAAUCUAAGGUAGAGAGAGUUAACUAUCCAAGACUUCUCUCACCUCUGCCAUUUCCUAAACAGGCCUGGGAAUCUUUUACCAUGGACUUUAUCACAGGAUUGCCCUCGUCUUUCUCAUAUGACUGCAUCCUGCUGGUUAUUGACAAGUUUACUAAGUAUGAUCACUUUAUGGCCCUCAAACACCCCUACACUGCUUAUAAAGUUGCUAACAUUUUCUUCGACAAUGUGUACAAAUUGCAUGGAAUGCCAGCAACUAUUGUGUCAGACAGAGAUGCUAUAUUCACUAGCUCUUUUUGGCAACAACUUGUUAAAAGAACUAGUGCUCACCUCAAUAUGAGCUCUGCAUAUCACCCAGCUACGGAUGGAUAG